rnacentral:piRNA from 1 species
UGCACACAGGACAGAACAGAAGCAAUUC